UACGUAGGGUGCAAGCGUUGUCCGGAAUUAUUGGGCGUAAAGAGCUCGUAGGCGGUGUGUCGCGUCGGCCGUGAAAACCUGCAGCUUAACUGUGGGCUUGCGGUCGAUACGGGCAUCACUGGAGUUCGGCAGGGGAGACUGGAAUUCCUGGUGUAGCGGUGAAAUGCGCAGAUAUCAGGAGGAACACCGGUGGCGAAGGCGGGUCUCUGGGCCAUUACUGACGUGAGGAGCGAAAGCGUGGGGAGCGAACAGG
rnacentral:rRNA from 1 species